AUGGGGGCAGAGCUGCUGCUGCUCGGCGGGAAGGUGUCCGCCGGCGGCGCAGCAGGAUCUGGCGCCGUCGCUGCGUCCUCGGCGGGAGCCGGACGGUGCGUGGCCGGCGGGCGGCGACUCGCGCCGGUGCAGCCGGCGGCGCUGCAAUGGCGGCAUAGUAGCCGCACCAGCACAGAUCAGAAGCCACCACUGCAACGCUGCGCCGCCGCCGAACUGUGGAGAGGAGACGCGGAGGACGGGAAGAUGGGAUUCGAGAAGGAGAUCCUGAAAGCCGGCACCGGCCCCAAGCCCGUCAAGGGCCAGAAGGUCACCGUCCACUGCACCGGCUACGGGAAGGAUGGUGAUCUGUCUAAGAAGUUUUGGAGUACCAAGGACCCUGGGCAGCAGCCAUUCUCUUUCAACAUUGGUCUGGGUUCAGUGAUCAAAGGAUGGGAUGAGGGAGUUAUGGGCAUGCAAUUGGGUGAAGUCGCCCGUCUUACGUGCACCCCAGACUACGCUUACGGUGAAGGUGGCUUUCCAGCCUGGGGAAUUCAACCAAACUCCGUGCUGAUAUUCGAGAUCGAAGUUCUUAGCGCCAAGUGA
rnacentral:rRNA from 1 species